AGUUAUACGUGAAGUUUAAACGUUUCGCCAAGACUUCCAGUAGCGCUCCUCCUUUGAGCGGUCCAAAUAGUCCUUUGGGGUUUCCACUCCAGCGUGUCUGCCACGAAUUACAUGACGCGGAGGUGUUUGCCGCUGAGCGGAUUGGGCGUCGGUGAGGAACCGUGAAAAGAAAUGAUGAACCAACUGAAGAAUGUUAACAAAGGUCAUCGACUAUUGGUGGCUGAAUGCGAUCGAAUUUGACUGCCUAACCUCUUACCAACGGUUAACUUGUUUUAAGUUUAAAAUUAUUUGCUCACAGCAGAUUUCACAUAGCGACAGAGUAAAA